CUCGUAGGCGGUUCGGCAAGUCGGAUGUGAAAUCUCCACGCUUAACGUGGAGGGGCCAUUCGAAACUGCCGUGACUCGAGUCCGGUAGGGGAGUGUGGAAUUCCUGGUGUAGCGGUGAAAUGCGCAGAUAUCAGGAGGAACACCAGUAGCGAAGGCGGCACUCUGGGCCGGUACUGACGCUGAGGAGCGAAAGCGUGGGAGCGAACA
rnacentral:rRNA from 1 species